rnacentral:rRNA from 1 species
UACGUAGGGUGCGAGCGUUAAUCGGAAUUACUGGGCGUAAAGCGUGCGCAGGCGGUUUUGUAAGCCAGAUGUGUAAUCCCCGGGCUUAACCUGGGAAUGGCAUUUGGGACUGCAAGGCUUGAGUGCGGCAGAGGAGACUGGAAUUCCUGGUGUAGCAGUGAAAUGCGUAGAUAUCAGGAGGAAUACCGAUGGCGAAGGCAGGUCUCUGGGCUGACACUGACGCUCAUGCACGAAAGCGUGGGGAGCAAACAGG